GAUCGGUGCUUGCACCGAGAUUCAACAUGGAACGAGUGGCGGACGGGUGAGUAACACGUGGGUAACCUGCCCUUAAGUGGGGGAUAACAUUUGGAAACAGAUGCUAAUACCGCAUAGAUCCAAGAACCGCAUGGUUCUUGGCUGAAAGAUGGCGUAAGCUAUCGCUUUUGGAUGGACCCGCGGCGUAUUAGCUAGUUGGUGAGGUAAUGGCUCACCAAGGCGAUGAUACGUAGCCGAACUGAGAGGUUGAUCGGCCACAUUGGGACUGAGACACGGCCCAAACUCCUACGGGAGGCAGCAGUAGGGAAUCUUCCACAAUGGACGCAAGUCUGAUGGAGCAACGCCGCGUGAGUGAAGAAGGCUUUCGGGUCGUAAAACUCUGUUGUUGGAGAAGAAUGGUCGGCAGAGUAACUGUUGUCGGCGUGACGGUAUCCAACCAGAAAGCCACGGCUAACUACGUGCCAGCAGCCGCGGUAAUACGUAGGUGGCAAGCGUUAUCCGGAUUUAUUGGGCGUAAAGCGAGCGCAGGCGGUUUUUUAAGUCUGAUGUGAAAGCCCUCGGCUUAACCGAGGAAGCGCAUCGGAAACUGGGAAACUUGAGUGCAGAAGAGGACAGUGGAACUCCAUGUGUAGCGGUGAAAUGCGUAGAUAUAUGGAAGAACACCAGUGGCGAAGGCGGCUGUCUGGUCUGUAACUGACGCUGAGGCUCGAAAGCAUGGGUAGCGAACAGGAUUAGAUACCCUGGUAGUCCAUGCCGUAAACGAUGAAUGCUAGGUGUUGGAGGGUUUCCGCCCUUCAGUGCCGCAGCUAACGCAUUAAGCAUUCCGCCUGGGGAGUACGACCGCAAGGUUGAAACUCAAAGGAAUUGACGGGGGCCCGCACAAGCGGUGGAGCAUGUGGUUUAAUUCGAAGCAACGCGAAGAACCUUACCAGGUCUUGACAUCUUUUGAUCACCUGAGAGAUCAGGUUUCCCCUUCGGGGGCAA
rnacentral:rRNA from 1 species